GAUUAUUAUUUUAAAAUGCAAUAAAAUGAAAAUUGUCUUUUAUGGGCUAAUUGUCUUAACUUUUCUCUUUAAGGUAGUCUGGCACCUGCAAGUUCCAGCAAGCUUUAUAGAGAAGCCUUAUAUAUAACAGAUCUGAGGCAUUAUCUGAAGUCUGUCUACAUUCAUUAGGAGUCCCUUAAAAAAAAUAUAGAUAAAAGCUAGUCUCAAAUUCUGUUCGCAACUUACACCAGUGAAACCACAGAGUCUUCAAAGGAGCUUUACACAGUGAGAUCUGUACCAUUUUCUUCUUUCAGCAUCCUCACCUGAUGGAAGAACUUGGAUCAGUGGAAUAUUUUCUGAACAAAUCAAUGCAGCGUGAGGAGCUAAAAGAGUUCUGGGCAUUCACAGGCUUUUCAGUAAGAUUAAGAAAUUACAUGUUUAUGAAGGGACAGGAGGUUGCUAUACAAAAGACCUAG
rnacentral:lncRNA from 1 species